rnacentral:rRNA from 1 species
CAGUCGCCGCGGUAAAACGUAGGUGGCAAGCGUUGUCCGGAAUUAUUGGGCGUAAAGGGCUCGCAGGCGGUUUCUUAAGUCUGAUGUGAAAGCCCCCGGCUCAACCGGGGAGGGUCAUUGGAAACUGGGAAACUUGAGUGCAGAAGAGGAGAGUGGAAUUCCACGUGUAGCGGUGAAAUGCGUAGAGAUGUGGAGGAACACCAGUGGCGAAGGCGACUCCCUGGUCUGUAACUGACGCUGAGGAGCGAAAGCGUGGGGAGCGAACAGGAUUAGAUACCCGUGUAGUCCCUGUCUCUUAUAC